ACCAAUGUCAGUUUGUCCGUAUCAGUGUCUAUCAAGCUUCAAGUUCACAGCCAGCUCUGAAGUAAAAAGAGAUGGUGCUCAACAUGAAGGCCAGUUUGGUCUUCUUAGUAAUGUUGGUUUACCUGGUUUCUGCAGAUCCUAUACCAGAACCAGAACCGCAUCAUCAUGAUGAAAAGAAACAGGUUAUUGUCAUAAAAGAUCAAGCUGAGCAUCAUCAUCACCAUCACCACCAUCAUAGUCAUAAACAUGGUCAUGACC